rnacentral:rRNA from 1 species
UACGGAGGGAGCUAGCGUUGUUCGGAAUUACUGGGCGUAAAGCGCACGUAGGCGGCUUUGUAAGUUAGAGGUGAAAGCCCGGGGCUCAACUCCGGAACUGCCUUUAAGACUGCAUCGCUUGAAUCCAGGAGGGGCGAGUGGAAUUCCUGGUGUAGCGGUGAAAUGCGCAGAUAUCAGGAGGAACACCAAUGGCGAAGGCAGCUCGCUGGAA